AGAGUUUGAUCCUGGCUCAGGAUGAACGCUAGCUACAGGCUUAACACAUGCAAGUCGAGGGGCAGCAUUUUAGUUUGCUUGCAAACUAAAGAUGGCGACCGGCGCACGGGUGAGUAACACGUAUCCAACCUGCCUCAUACUCGGGGAUAGCCUUUCGAAAGAAAGAUUAAUAUCCGAUAGCAUAUAUUUCCCGCAUGGGUUUUAUAUUAAAGAAAUUCGGUAUGAGAUGGGGAUGCGUUCCAUUAGUUUGUUGGGGGGGUAACGGCCCACCAAGACUACGAUGGAUAGGGGUUCUGAGAGGAAGGUCCCCCACAUUGGAACUGAGACACGGUCCAAACUCCUACGGGAGGCAGCAGUGAGGAAUAUUGGUCAAUGGACGCGAGUCUGAACCAGCCAAGUAGCGUGAAGGAUGACUGCCCUAUGGGUUGUAAACUUCUUUUAUAUGGGAAUAAAGUUGUCCACGUGUGGAUUUUUGUAUGUACCAUAUGAAUAAGGAUCGGCUAACUCCGUGCCAGCAGCCGCGGUAAUACGGAGGAUCCGAGCGUUAUCCGGAUUUAUUGGGUUUAAAGGGAGCGUAGGUGGAUUGUUAAGUCAGUUGUGAAAGUUUGCGGCUCAACCGUAAAAUUGCAGUUGAAACUGGCAGUCUUGAGUACAGUAGAGGUGGGCGGAAUUCGUGGUGUAGCGGUGAAAUGCUUAGAUAUCACGAAGAACUCCGAUUGCGAAGGCAGCUCACUGGAGUGUAACUGACGCUGAUGCUCGAAAGUGUGGGUAUCAAACAGGAUUAGAUACCCUGGUAGUCCACACAGUAAACGAUGAAUACUCGCUGUUUGCGAUAUACAGUAAGCGGCCAAGCGAAAGCAUUAAGUAUUCCACCUGGGGAGUACGCCGGCAACGGUGAAACUCAAAGGAAUUGACGGGGGCCCGCACAAGCGGAGGAACAUGUGGUUUAA
rnacentral:rRNA from 1 species